rfam:Camelus ferus unplaced genomic scaffold scaffold407, whole genome shotgun sequence.
GGAGGGUUCAGCUCAGCAGUAGAGCACAUGCUUAACACGCACAAGGUCCUGGGUUCAAUCCCCAGUCCCUCCG